CGUUAAGCUGGUAAGACCCCUCAUAGACGAUGAGGUUGAUAGGUUCGGUGUGGAAGCGCGGCAACGCGUGGAGCUGACGAAUACUAAUCGGUCGAGGACUUAUCCACA
rnacentral:rRNA from 1 species